UACGGAGGGUGCAAGCGUUAAUCGGAAUUACUGGGCGUAAAGCGCACGCAGGUGGCUGAGUCAGUCGAUUGUGAAAGCCCUGGGCUUAACCUGGGAAUUGCAGUCGAUACUACUUAGCUAGAGUAUGGGAAAGGACAGUGGAAUUCCCGGUGUAGCGGUGAAAUGCGUAGAUAUCGGGAGGAACAUCAGUGGCGAAGGCGGCUGUCUGGCCCAAUACUGACACUGAGGCACGAAAGCGUGGGGAGCAAACAGG
rnacentral:rRNA from 1 species